AGUAAUGCUUAGGAAUCUGCCUAUUAGUGGGGGACAACAUCUCGAAAGGGAUGCUAAUACCGCAUACGUCCUACGGGAGAAAGCAGGGGAUCUUCGGACCUUGCGCUAAUAGAUGAGCCUAAGUCGGAUUAGCUAGUUGGUGGGGUAAAGGCCUACCAAGGCGACGAUCUGUAGCGGGUCUGAGAGGAUGAUCCGCCACACUGGGACUGAGACACGGCCCAGACUCCUACGGGAGGCAGCAGUGGGGAAUAUUGGACAAUGGGGGGAACCCUGAUCCAGCCAUGCCGCGUGUGUGAAGAAGGCCUUAUGGUUGUAAAGCACUUUAAGCGAGGAGGAGGCUACUUUAGUUAAUACCUAGAGAUAGUGGACGUUACUCGCAGAAUAAGCACCGGCUAACUCUGUGCCAGCAGCCGCGGUAAUACAGAGGGUGCGAGCGUUAAUCGGAUUUACUGGGCGUAAAGCGUGCGUAGGCGGCUUAUUAAGUCGGAUGUGAAAUCCCCGAGCUUAACUUGGGAAUUGCAUUCGAUACUGGUGAGCUAGAGUAUGGGAGAGGAUGGUAGAAUUCCAGGUGUAGCGGUGAAAUGCGUAGAGAUCUGGAGGAAUACCGAUGGCGAAGGCAGCCAUCUGGCCUAAUACUGACGCUGAGGUACGAAAGCAUGGGGAGCAAACAGGAUUAGAUACCCUGGUAGUCCAUGCCGUAAACGAUGUCUACUAGCCGUUGGGGCCUUUGAGGCUUUAGUGGCGCAGCUAACGCGAUAAGUAGACCGCCUGGGGAGUACGGUCGCAAGACUAAAACUCAAAUGAAUUGACGGGGGCCCGCACAAGCGGUGGAGCAUGUGGUUUAAUUCGAUGCAACGCGAAGAACCUUACCUGGCCUUGACAUACUAGAAACUUUCCAGAGAUGGAUUGGUGCCUUCGGGAAUCUAGAUACAGGUGCUGCAUGGCUGUCGUCAGCUCGUGUCGUGAGAUGUUGGGUUAAGUCCCGCAACGAGCGCAACCCUUUUCCUUACUUGCCAGCAUUUCGGAUGGGAACUUUAAGGAUACUGCCAGUGACAAACUGGAGGAAGGCGGGGACGACGUCAAGUCAUCAUGGCCCUUACGGCCAGGGCUACACACGUGCUACAAUGGUCGGUACAAAGGGUUGCUACACAGCGAUGUGAUGCUAAUCUCAAAAAGCCGAUCGUAGUCCGGAUUGGAGUCUGCAACUCGACUCCAUGA
rnacentral:rRNA from 1 species